AUACGCACUUGUCCAGUAUUUCUAGUAGGUAAGUGGCCAACAGAGCCGAGUAUUUUGUUUUCAUGUUCCCGGAUUGCUGCGCCCUAUGAAAUAAAGGGGUAAAUCGUGACGUCACACGCCAGUUUUGACUGGGCAGUUUCGCCACGGUUGCCAACACGCACCGAACAGGCGUCUUGUCAGUGCAGCAAAUAACUCAAUUGGUCCGACACUCGUUGAGGAUAUUACAUCCGGUGUGGACCCUUCUCAAGAAAGUGCCUCAAAAGCCAAAAAUGCAGAACAAUUUAUGAGCGUGAGAAAGUGCUAAAAGUCCCGUCAAGACGUGUCCAUCUGGUUGGUUCCUCACAGCAAACAAAACAAAACAAAAAAGAGCAUGAUGUUUUUUCAUACAAAUAAAAGGUAACACCGCCAAAGGCAACAAAAAGUUGUUUGUCCCACAAUGCGAUAAAAAGAUUGAAACAAAUUACAACUUUUUUUUUUUCUCUCACUCGUACUCUGCAAUUAGAACCAUCAUGCCCACUCCGAACAGCAGGGCCAGAAUCUCCAUCAAAGACUGGCCGAAACUGGAGCGCCCCGCUAGCAGUUCUGGAAGCACCGUCACCGUGGCGAUGUAGACAAAGCCGCCGGCGGUGAAGGGCAGGAUCCAGGCGGUCGCCGUGGCGCCCACCCCUUCCGCCAGCAGCGAGCAGGCGGUGCCAGCCAGAGCUCCCAAGGCCGUGACCAGCUGCAGACACAUGGCCUGAUGGGAAACAGGAAGUUAAACAGCUGAAGAACCGGGAGUCGGGCGGCCCACCUUUUUCUUGGUGCAACCGGACUGGACCAGGAUGGCGAAGUCUCCGAUCUCGUGCGGGACCUCGUGCAGCAGGAUGGUGAUGGUGGUGAUGGUGCCCACCGCUGGACCCACCAGGAAGGAGGCGCCGAUGGCCAGGCCAUCGGUGAAGUUAUGAGUGAAGUCCGCCGCCAGGUUGAGGUAGCCCGACACCUUGAUGUCUGCAACAUGAACAGCUGUCAGCGUGUGAGCCAGAGUCUGACCUCUGAUUUCAACAGGAAACGUAAUCGCCACAAAACGGCAGCGCCAUCUGCCGUUUGGCGAUCCCCAACGCCGUUCUGUUGCGGCUCUGCCGUGCAGCGAAAAAGCGCAGACUUUUACGAGAUCCCGCAAAUCCGCGCUUCAUCAUGUGACAAAGUAAACAUUGACGUAAACACCUCGAAACGUCUCGAGGUCCAUCAAAACCCACAGGCGAGCGUUGUCGACACACAUCUCCCACGAACCACACCACUGCUUCCCUGUAUCAGCUGGCAUUUGACACAGGACCCCAUGUGCGCACAUACCGUAUUUUUCGGAUUAUAAGUCGCAGUUUUUUUCAUAGUUUGGCCGGGGGUGCGACAUAUACUCCGGAGCGACUUAUGUGUGAAAUUAUUAACACAUUACCGUAAAAUAUCAAAUAAUAUUUAUCUCAUUCACGUAAGAGACUAAGCAAAUGGCAGCAAUCGUCACUCACACGUCAACCAAUAAGAAUUCGGCGGGGGAGGGUCAUGGCAGAAGUGCAUUGUGGGUCAUGGGAUGCUAACUGCUAUAUGUUACUGCCGUAGCUAUUAAAAUGGAUCACAUCAACAUUGGCGGUAACUUAUAAAAACUGAGAAGGACUGAACAAAAAUGGCACCGAAAAGGAAAUUAUAUACUGCAGAUUAGAAGCUGGACGUAGUGAAAUAUGCAGCAGAGAACGGCAAUCGAGCAGCAGAAAGAAAGGACAUACCAGAGGUGACACCGGGGAGGAAGAUUUCAUCGGAUUUAGCGAUCGGGAGUGACAGAUUGUUUGGUAAACGUAUAGCAUGUUCUAUAUGUUAUAGUUAUUUGAAUGACUCUUGCCAUGAUGUGUUGCGUUAACAUACCAGGCACGUUCUCAGUUGGUUAUUUAUGCCUCAUAUAACGUACACUUAUUCAGCCUGUUGUUCACUAUUCUUUAUUUAUUUUAAAUUGCCUUUCAAAUGUCUAUGUCUACUACGUGUUGGAUUUUAUCAAAUAAAUUUCCCCCAAAAAUGCGACUUAUACAGUGCGACGUAUAUGUUUUUUUCCGUCUUUAUUGUGCAUUUUCGGCCAGUGCGACGUAUACUCCGGAGCGACUUAUAGUCCGAAAAAUACGGUAGCUGCCCGGGAUAUGCCUGUGUAUGAUCCUUGAAUUUUGGACCUCCAGAAUCAGCAUUUGUCUCAACGAGGUGAAAUUACGUCUAAAAACUUGUGACAAGUUGACUUUAUGUCCGUCCCAGCCCAUUAAGGAUGUUCCAAAAUGUAACAUAAGAUUCACCUUGAAAACGGACUACCGUAUUUUCCGCACUAUAAGGCGCAACUAAAAACCUCCAAUUUCCUCAAAAGCUGACAGUGCGCCUUAUAAUCCGGUGCGCCUUAUAUAUGGACCAAUAUUGAGCCACACCAGGUCUCGCAACUACGGUAACUACACCAACUUCAUUUUCCCCCUUCUCCGGCUGUUUACCGUAGAAGAAGAAGCGCUUCUUCUACGGGGGAAAAUGAAGUCUGCGGUUGCUUACCGUAGAAGAAGAACUUCUUCUACGGGGGAAAAUUAAGUCGGCGGCUGCUUACCGUAGAAGAAGAAGUUCUUCUUCUACGGGGGAAACUGAAGUCCUGUAGUUGCGAGACAUAAACUUUAUGUAAAAACCCUAAAAUGGUUCCUAUUAAGAGACACGCUUACGACGCAGAGUUUAAACUCAAGGCGAUCAGUCACGCAGUAGAACACGGGAGAAUUUAACAUUAACGAAUCAAUGGUGCGGAAGUGGAGGAAGCAACAUGAUGACCUGCGCCAAGUAAAGAAGACUAAACAGAGUUUCCGAGGGAACAAAGCGAGAUGGCUACAGUUGGAGGACAAACUCGAACAGUGAGUUGUUGAACAGAGAGCAGCAAGUAGAAGUGUCAGUACAAUCACUAUUGGUUUUGUUGACAUUCCCUUUAGCGCAGCUCCAUCUAAUGGAUGCAUAACGUAACCCCAGCCUCUACUGUAGUGUCUAUUCUAUGCACCUUAUAAUGCGGUGCGCCUUAUAUAUGAACAAAGUUUUAAAAUAGGCCAUUCAUUGAAGGUGCGCCCUAUAAUCCGGUGCGCCUUAUAGUGCGGAAAAUACGGUAUUUUAUUUUCAAAGUAAGCCGGAUAUGGCUUCCUGUCCAACACAAGCAGAUUUUAGCUGAAUGGAUCCUCCGUGUUGCGACAACUGGCAAAAAUAGAAGCUUUGCGUGUAUUUAGCGCAGGGAACUAGAACGCAGGCGGUGGAAACGGACACAUUGACUCGAAUAAAAACGAAAGGAGUCCACCGCCGUGGCGAUUACGCACCGCAGCCGUAACGCAUCCUGUGAAAAUCACGGCUUAGAAAAGGCCUGGGCAAUCAUUUUGACUCGGGGGCCAAAUUUAGAGAAAAAAAUGUGUCUGGGGGCUGGUAUAUGUAUUUUUAGGAACACUACUACAAAACCUCACAAUAAUGUCUGAUUGAAUGCUAAAAACGUUUUGACAGACCGCCUUAAAAAAACAGAAUGGAAUUUUAAAUUUGUUUACUGAAUGAGACACCCAGAAUGUACAUGAAAAUAAAGAAUGUGGGAUUUACAAUAUGUAUUAACUAGGGAUGUCCGAUAAUGGCUUUUUUGCCGAUAUUGUCCAACUCUUAAUUACCGAUACCGAUAUCAACUGAUACCGAUAUAUACAGUCGUGGAAUUAACACAUUAUUAUGCCUAAUUUGGACAACCAGGUAUGGUGAAGAUAAGGUCCUUUUUUUUUAAAUUUAUAAAAUAAAAUAAGAGAAAUAAAUUAAAAACAUUUUCUUGAAUAAAAAAGAAAGUAAAACAAUAUAAAAACAGUUACACAGAAACCAGUAAGUAAUGAAAAUGAGUAAAAUUAACUGUUAAAGGUUAGUACUAUUAGUGGACCAGCAGCACGCACAAUCAUGUGUGCUUACGGACUGUAUCCCUUGCAGACUGUAUUGAUAUAUAUAACGUAGGAACCAGAAUAUUAAUAACAGAAAGAAACAACCCUUUUGUGUGAAUGAGUGUAAAUGGGGGAGGGAGAUUUUUUGGGUUGGUGCACUAAUUGUAAGUGUAUCUUGUUUUUUUUAUGUUGAUUUAAUAAAAAUAAAAAAACGACAACAACCCGAUAUUGAUAAUAAAAAAACUGAUACCGAUAAUUUCCGAUAUUACAUUUUAAAGCAUUUAUUUAUUUACUGUAGUAUUAACUAUGCACGAUAAAACACUGAAUAUUGACAACAUAUGAACGCCAACCCCUCCCCACCCCCCCUCUCUCUCUCUAUCGACAUAUUUUACAAUCAAGCGAAACGCAACAAAAAUGGAACAAACACCGCGAAAUAUGAACGCGAAGGGUAAAAAAACCAAACCACCUACAAUCUGAUAUCUGUCACUCAGUUAUAGAACUUUGUUGUAAAAAUCUCUUUCUGUUCCUGACACCCGCAUUUUCAGGCUCGCUCUGGAAACACUGUAGAAACGCUCCUCACCCACACUGCUUGGUGCCUCGUCUGAGCUGUUGUGACUUAGAUUACCAUAGUAGCUAAUAUAUCAUGCAAGAGUGCAGAUUUCAACCAUUGAAAUACUUUGUAUUAGGGAUGUCCGAUAAUAUCGGACUGCCGAUAUUAUCGGCCGAUAAAUGCUUUAAAAUGUAAUAUCGGAAAUUAUCGGUAUCAGUUUCAAAAUUAUCGGUAUCUGUUUCAAAAAGUAAAAUGUAUGACUUUUUAAAACGCCGCUGUGUACACGGACGUAGGGAGAAGUACAGAGCGCCAAUAAACCUUGAAGGCACUGCCUUUGCGUGCCGGCCCAAUCACAUAAUAUCUACGGCUUUUCACACUCACAAGUGAAUGCAGGCAUACUUGGUCAACAGCCAUACAGGUGACACCGAGGGUUGCCGUAUAAACAACUUCAACACUGUUACAAAUAUGCGCCACACUGUGAACCCACACCAAACAAGAAUGACAAACACAUUUCGGGAAAACAUCCGCACCGUAACACAACAUAAACACAACAGAACAAAUAGCCAGAACCCCUUACAGCACUAACUCUUCCGGGACGCUACAAUAUACACCCCGCUACCCCCCCUCCCCCACCUCAACCUCCUCAUGCUCUCUCAGGGAGAGCAUGUCCCAAAUUCCAAGCUGCAAAACAGGCAUGUUAAAUAAAAUAAUGCACUUUGUGACUUCAAUAAUAAAUAUGGCAGUGCCAUGUUGGCACUUUUUUCCAUAACUUGAGUUGAAGUUGUUCUCUUAUUUUGGAAAACCUUGUUACAUUGUUUAAUGCAUCCAGCGGGGCAUCACAACAAAAUUAAGCAUAAUAAUGUGUUAAUUCCACAACUGUAUAUAUCGGUAUCGGUUGAUAUCGGUAAUUAAGAGUUGGACAAUAUCGGAAUAUCAGAUAUCGGCAAAAAAGCCAUUAUCGGACAUCUCUACUUUGUAUAGUUCAAGACUUACCGUAAUUCAAAAACAUCACUGCAUAUCAUAAUGGCAGCUACAGUUUCCAUCUUAAAGAUAAAAAAAUAAAUGUUGGGAAAUGUCCGGCGGGCUAGACUGAAAAGCUUAACGUGCCGCAUAUGGCCCCCGGGCCUUAAUUUGCACAGGUCUGGCUUAGACACAUGGCAGCUUUAUAAAAUGCUCUUCAGCUCACCUGCACUAUUCUCUUUCUUCUUUGCCACCAUUUUGCCUUUGCUUUCUUUCUUCUUCUCUUCCUCUCCGUCGCUGUCCUUUUCCUUGACGGCACCUGGAAAAGAUCCCAAAAAUGUUAAUGGCUACAUGGAUUUAUUUUGCGUGAGGUGUGUGGUAAUCUUACCGUGGGAGUGUGAGUGUCCUCCCUUCAACAAACGCACAAACUUCUCCACAACCAGAAAGGCGAUUAUGCCGCCAAGAACCCACAGUCCCACGGACAUCAUGUGAUCAUGGGCGGCACCUGUGGAGCAAGCCGGGAAAAGUUGACUUACGUGAAGUCAAUUUUUGGACACUUUGUCAGGGACCUAUCCGCCUACCGUGAGAGUGGCCGUGGUCGUGCGAGUCUCCAUGAUCGUCGCCGUGGUGUGAGUCUCCAUGAUCGUCUCCAUGAUCGUCGCCGUGGUGCGAGUGCGGCUCUGCAAGACAGAGAUUUUGAGUUUUUUCUUCACGUCUGUGUCGUUUAGCACGAGGUACGGUAUGGAAGUACUAUUGUCACAAAACAACGUGCAUAUGUGUAUUAAUCAGGUAAUCAGAGCUGUGUGUCUCUGUUCUAAUUUGUGUUUGUAAUAAUUUGU